AACAGCAAGCAGUAACUUUCGAACGGAACACGAAGUCUGUGAUAUUCUUCAUUUUAUAAUUUAACAAAUGAAGAGUCAUUGGCUUGGUUUUUCGUUCAACACCACUUCGUCCAACGUUC
rnacentral:precursor_RNA from 15 species